rnacentral:rRNA from 1 species
AGAGUUUGAUCAUGGCUCAGGACGAACGCUGGCGGCGUGCUUAACACAUGCAAGUGGAGCGACGAACCAGGGCUUGCCCUGGGGCAAAGCCGCGAACGGGUGAGUAACACGUGGGUAACCUGCCCUGAUGAUUGGGACAACCCGAGGAAACUCGGGCUAAUACCAAAUGUGCUCCUCGGCCAUAAGGUCGAUGAGGAAAG